UACCGUUAAUUUUAUUACUACCACUGGGUCGAUGCCUCUGCUGGUGGACUAUUAGUCCACGAGGGUAUCACCACCCCAGUAGCCAGUACUUCGGUACUGGCAUGAAAAUACGGAUUUUUUGUGUUAUUAAAAUUUACUGUUAAAAAAUGAUAGAAAUUAUUAUAAAUUAAGGAGUGUAUCUCCCUCAUGCAAAGCUCUGAUUCCUUUCACGGAUUUGGCUAUACUUUUUGGACCUUAUGGAUUAUAGCUCUUCAUCUUUUAUAUAAGCUUUGGAUUUCAAAUAUCUUGGCCACGAGCAUCACUGAAGAGACAUGUAUUGUCGAAAUGCGCAUCUGGUGCAAGAAAUUGGUACCGCUAAUUUAAUUACUACCACUGGGUCGAUGCCUCUGCUGGUGGACUAUUAGUCUCCGAGGGUAUUACCACCCCAGUAGCCAGUACUUCGGUACUGGCAUGAAAAUACGGAUUUUUUGUGUUAUUAAAAUUUACUGUUACAAUAUGAUAGAAAUUAUUAUAAAU
rnacentral:lncRNA from 1 species